CCUUCAGCCAGAUUUGAAUAUAGAUUUAGGUUUUAAAACCCAGAAGCUGGGAACACCGCUUUAUCAAAGAGAAUUUCCCUUUAGCUUAGCGAUGUGUCGGAAUGGCUCUCGCAAAGAUCGGAUCGGAGAGGGGGAAAAAUAGGGGGAAGCCUUCAUCCCGGAGCGAUCCUACACGCACUUUGCAGCCGCAUUCCGCCUUCAGCCUCAGGAAAAGUUGCCCCCAAACAAGCAAAAAAAAAAAGAAAAAAAAAAAAGUGGCAGCCGUAGGAACUGUUUUUUUUUUUUAAUUACUAUUUUAUUUUUAAUUAUUUUUUAAGGAAGGGAAAAAGAAAAAAAAACCAACAAAAACAACCAAACAAAACAGCCAAUGCGACCAAACCCCUUUCCGACCUCCUGCGCUCCGUUCGGAUAGCAGCUCCGGGCAGGUAUACAGAGCCGCACUAACUCGGGCUCAACGGGGAGCGACUUUUGUGCUCAGAGAACCCCCAGAUCAGCUCCCGGGAUGGAAAGGAACUGUAACUUCUGCUGCUCAGGUCUGUGGGAGGCUGGUCCCUCUUUGAACAUCUGGAGUGGUGUGUGGCUGCAUUCAUUGGAAGAGGAACCCCACGUGGAAAACCAGGGCCAGAGCUAAAGGCAGGAUUCAACUCCUCUUCACCCUUGAUGUGCUGGCCCAGCUCCAAGGAGAUGCUAAGGUAGCAGCUCAUACAACUCUGCUGGCUUUGGAAGGGAGCUUGGGAGUCCCCAGAUCCUUCUUGUUCGUGUAUUGGCUCCAGUCUCAUCACUUACAUGGAGAUUUGCUUGCAGGUAAAAAUACCGAAUUUCUGGUGCUACCCAGGAAGAGACAGCUCAUCACUCAAGAUAUCACAUAUCAAAGUGCAGGCAAACAUGCAAAUGGAAGAAAAGCGAACUCUUACACUUUUGCACUGCAGUUGCUUUUAAAAGAG
ensembl:lncRNA